rnacentral:rRNA from 1 species
GACGAACGCUGGCGGCGUGCUUAACACAUGCAAGUCGAACGGAAAGGCCUCUUUCGGGGGGUACUCGAGUGGCGAACGGGUGAGUAACACGUGAGUAACCUGCCCUUGACUUUGGGAUAACUUCAGGAAACUGGGGCUAAUACCGGAUAGGAGCUCCUGCUGCAUGGUGGGGGUUGGAGAGUUUCGGCGGUUGGGUAUGGACUCGCGGCUUAUUCGCUUUUUGGUGGGGUAGGGGCUUACCAAGGAUUUGCCGGGUAGCCGGCCUGAGAGACUGAACGGCGACAUUGGGUCUCAGAUAAGGCCCAGAAUCCUACUGGUGGCAGCUGUGGGGAAUAUUGCACAAGGGGUGGCAGCCUGAUGCAGCAACGCUGUGUGCGGGAUGACGGUGUUCGGGUUGUAAACCGCUUUUGCUCAGGCCGAAUCGUUGUGUGACGGUAGUGGGCAAAGAAGCACCGGCUAACUACGUG